CCUACGGGUGGCAGCAGUGAGGAAUAUUGGUCAAUGGCCGGAAGGCUGAACCAGCCAUGCCGCGUGAAGGUCAGUGCCCCUUCGGCGUUUAACUUCUUUUUUUCGGGAGCAAUAUUGGUCCCGUCUUGCCCUACGAGAGUAUCGUUCGAAUAAACAUCGGCUCACUCCGUGCCCGCAGACGCGGUAAUACGGGGGGUGCACGCGUUAUCCGGAUUUAUUUGGUUUAAAGGGAGCGUAGAUGGGUUGUUAAGUCAGGUGGGAAAGUUUGCGGCUCAACCGUAAAUGUGCACUUGAUACUGGCAGCCUUGAGUACAGUUGAGGUAGGCGGAAUUCGUGGUGUAGCGGUGAAAUGCUUAGAUAUCACGAAGAACUCCGAUUGCGAAGGCAGCCUACUAAACUGCAACUGACAUUGAUGCUCGAAAGUGUGGGUAUCAAACAGGAUUAGAUACCCGGGUAGUC
rnacentral:rRNA from 1 species